ACAUCCAGAGAAUUUAGCAGAGAUGCUUUAGUGCCUUCGGGAACUCUGAGACAGGUGCUGCAUGGCUGUCGUCAGCUCGUGUUGUGAAAUGUUGGGUUAAGUCCCCGCAACGAGCGCAACCCUUAUCCUUUGUUGCCAGCACGUAAUGGUGGGAACUCAAAGGAGACUGCCGGUGAUAAACCGGAGGAAGGUGGGGAUGACGUCAAGUCAUCAUGGCCCUUACGAGUAGGGCUACACACGUGCUACAAUGGCGCAUACAAAGAGAAGCGACCUCGCGAGAGCAAGCGGACCUCAUAAAGUGCGUCGUAGUCCGGAUUGGAGUCUGCAACUCGACUCCAUGAAGUCGGAAUCGCUAGUAAUCGUAAAUCAGAAUGUUACGGUGAAUACGUUCCCGGGCCUUGUACACACCGCCCGUCACACCAUGGGAGUGGGUUGCAAAAGAAGUAGAUAGCUUAACCUUCGGGAGGGCGUUUACCACUUUGUGAUUCAUGACUGGGGUGAAGUCGUAACAAGGUAAGCGUAGUGCU
rnacentral:rRNA from 1 species